rnacentral:ncRNA from 1 species
CCGUCCGAGGGGCGCUGCAGCAGGGUUUGCGCCGGUCGAUGCACCGGCACCUGUCAGGCUCGGACGGGCUGUCGCCACGGCACGCAGCCUGCGUCCGUUCCUGACUUCAACGGCGCCCAUUCGCC